rnacentral:rRNA from 1 species
AGAGUUUGAUCCUGGCUCAGGACGAACGCUGGCAGCGUGGAUUAGGCAUGCAAGUCGAACGAGAAGCUUCGGUUUCAAUCUUUCGAGAGAGAAACCGGAGUGGAAAGUGGCGGAAGGGUGAGUAACGCGUGGAUAACCUACCCUUGAGUUGGGGACAACAGCCCGAAAGGGCUGCUAAUACCGAAUGUGGUAUCUUGUCGCAGGACAGGAUCACUAAAGACGGGGAUUCUUCGGAACCUGUCGCUCGAGGAGGGGUCCGCGUCCCAUCAGCUUGUUGGUAAGGUAAAGGCUUACCAAGGCUUACGGGUAGCCGGCCUGAGAGGGUGAUCGGCCACACUGGGACUGAGACACUGCCCAGACUCCUACGGGAGGCUGCAGUCGAGGAUCAUUCGCAAUGCGCGAAAGCGUGACGAUGCGACGCUGCGUGGAGGAUGACGGCCUUAGGGUUGUAAACUCCUGUCAUGAGGGAAAAACGGCCAAUUGGUUAAUAGCCUUUUGGGGNGAUGGACCUCAAGAGGAGCC